GAUGAACGCUGGCGGCGUGCCUAAUACAUGCAAGUCGAGCGAACGGACGCGAAGCUUGCUUUUCUGAUGUUAGCGGCGGACGGGUGAGUAACACGUGGAUAACCUACCUAUAAGACUAGGAUAACUUCGGGAAACCGGAGCUAAUACCGGAUAAUAUUUUGAACCGCAUGGUUCAACAGUGAAAGACGGUCUUGCUGUCACUUAUAGAUGGAUCCGCGCUGCAUUAGCUAGUUGGUAAGGUAACGGCUUACCAAGGCAACGAUGCAUAGCCGACCUGAGAGGGUGAUCAGCCACACUGGAACUGAGACACGGUCCAGACUCCUACGGGAGGCAGCAGUAGGGAAUCUUCCGCAAUGGGCGAAAGCCUGACGGAGCAACGCCGCGUGAGUGAUGAAGGUCUUCGGAUCGUAAAACUCUGUUAUUAGGGAAGAACAUAUGUGUAAGUAACUGUGCACAUCUUGACGUUACCUAAUCAGAAAGCCACGGCUAACUACGUG
rnacentral:rRNA from 1 species